CUGUCCCUUUAUAUUAUUUUUAAAUGAUUUCGAAGUUACCAAUGACUAUGUUCCUUUUCCCAGUUGAGCUUUAUGUCAGAUUGAAAUCACAUAUAAAUGUGUACCUAAAUUGUUUUAUUUUCUCCCAGAAUUGUAUUUCUACUAAAUGUUUAAACGUGCGCAAUGAAUACUUGUUUCCGGAAUAAGCUUACAAAACGUUUCAGUACAAUCAUCCAUAAACAUUGUCACUUAAAAUUAUAAUUGUACCCUUAGUUGGCUCCUGGGCGGGUUAACAUCGAUAACUGACAGUCCACCUUAAAAAUUGCAGACCCAGCAGUUAUAACAACACUAUAUAAAGACUUAAUGUGUUUUGGAACACUUUUCAUUAAUAUCGCUAUUCGUAGAAUACUUUCGUUUGAAAACCAAAAAAAAAAACAUUAACAGAAUCAUAAGCCGAAAUCUUUUAAGACAAUCAUUGCUUGAG
rnacentral:lncRNA from 1 species